CUAAGGCGAGGCCGACAGGCGUAGUCGAUGGAGAACGGGUUGAUAUUCCCGUACCAGUGAAGGACCGUCCAUACUGAUAUUGUGAUGCUAACCAUGCCGAUCACGGUGUCAUGAAGUUUUUCUUUGUGGUGUUGUGGGGUGUGUGGGACCCAAGCUUUGGAGGUAAGCGUGUUAACAGGUGUGACGCAGGAAGGUAGCCAAGCCACGCGGUGGUUGUCGUGGUCUAAGCGUGUAGGAUGACUGGUUGUUAAAUGCGCUGGUUGUGUGUCUGAGACGUGAUGGGACCCCUUGUUUGUGGGGGGAUUUGGUGAUCCUAUGCUGCCGAGAAAAGCAUCGGCGUGAGGUUUUAGCUGCCCGUACCCGAAACCGACACAGGUGAUCAGGUAGAGAAUACUAAGGCGAUCGAGAGAAUCAUGGUUAAGGAACUCGGCAAAAUGCCCCCGUAACUUCGGGAGAAGGGGGGCCCUGAGCGUGAUCUGCCCGUGCGGUGGGGAGCGUGUAGGGGUCGCAGAGACCAGGGGGAAGCGACUGUUUAUCAAAAACACAGGUCCGUGCGAAGUCGUAAGACGAGGUAUACGGACUGACUCCUGCCCGGUGCUGGAAGGUUAAGAGGAUUGGUUAGCCCUGUGUGGGCGAAGCUGAGAAUUUAAGCCCCAGUAAACGGCGGUGGUAACUAUAACCAUCCUAAGGUAGCGAAAUUCCUUGUCGGGUAAGUUCCGACCUGCACGAAUGGCGUAACGACUUCUCCGCUGUCUCAACCAUGAACUCGGUGAAAUUGCAGUACGAGUAAAGAUGCUCGUUUCGCGCAGCAGGACGGAAAGACCCCGUGACCUUUACUAUAGUUUGGUAUUGGUGUUUGGGUUGGCUUGUGUAGGAUAGGUGGGAGACUGUGAAGCCGCUACGCUAGUGGUGGUGGAGUCGUUGUUGAAAUACCACUCUGGUCAAUCUGGAUGUCUAACUUCGGGCCAUGAUCUGGUUCAGGGACAGUGCCUGAUGGGUAGUUUAACUGGGGCGGUUGCCUCCUAAAGUGUAACGGAGGCGCCCAAAGGUUCCCUCAGCCUGGUUGGCAAUCAGGUGUUGAGUGUAAGUGCACAAGGGAGCUUGACUGUGAGAGUGGCGACUCGAGCAGGGACGAAAGUCGGGACUAGUGAUCCGGCAGUGGCUUGUGGAAGCGCUGUCGCUCAACGGAUAAAAGGUACCUCGGGGAUAACAGGCUGAUCUUGCCCAAGAGUCCAUAUCGACGGCAUGGUUUGGCACCUCGAUGUCGGCUCGUCGCAUCCUGGGGCUGGAGUCGGUCCCAAGGGUUGGGCUGUUCGCCCAUUAAAGCGGUACGCGAGCUGGGUUCAGAACGUCGUGAGACAGUUCGGUCCCUAUCCGCUGCGCGCGUUGGAGAAUUGAGAAAGGCUGUCCUUAGUACGAGAGGACCGGGACGGACGAACCUCUGGUAUGUCAGUUGUACCGCCAGGUGCAUGGCUGAUUGGCUACGUUCGGGAGGGAUAACCGCUGAAGGCAUCUAAGCGGGAAGCCUGUUUCGAGAUGAGUUCUCCUGGCAUCCUUUGGGUGUGUGAGGCUCCUUAGAGAUGAUGAGGUUGAUAGGCCGGGUAUGGAAGCGUUGUAAGGCGUGGAGUUGACUGGUACUAAUAGGCCGAAGACUUAUUCAC
rnacentral:rRNA from 1 species